GACGAACGCUGGCGGCGUGCUUAACACAUGCAAGUCGAACGGAGCGAAUGAAAGCUUGCUUUUAUGAGCUUAGUGGCAAACGGGUGAGUAACACGUAGACAACCUGCCGACAGGAUGGGGACAACAUUCCGAAAGGAAUGCUAAUACCGAAUGAAGCGGAGGAGAGGCAUCUCUCCUCCGUGAAAGAUGGCCUCUAUUUAUAAGCUAUCACCUGUCGAUGGGUCUGCGUCUGAUUAGCUAGUUGGUGAGGUAACGGCUCACCAAGGCGACGAUCAGUAGCCGGUCUGAGAGGAUGAACGGCCACAUUGGGACUGAGACACGGCCCAGACUCCUACGGGAGGCAGCAGUGGGGAAUCUUCCGCAAUGGGCGCAAGCCUGACGGAGCAACGCCGCGUGAGUGAAGAAGGUCUUCGGAUCGUAAAGCUCUGUUGAUGGGGACGAAUGUACGGAGUGCGAAUAGUGCUCUGUAAUGACG
rnacentral:rRNA from 1 species